AACGAUCGCUGGCGGCAGGCCUAAAACAUGCACGUCGAACGAACCUUCGGGUUAGUGGCGCACGGGUGCGUAACGCGUGGGAAUAUGCCUCUGGGUGCGGAACAACGUCGGGAAACUGACGCUAAUACCGCAUAAUAUCUACGGAUCAAAGGUUUAUCGCGCAGAGAUUAGCCCGCGUCUGAUUAGGUAGUUGGUGAGGUAACGGCUCACCAAGCCGACGAUCAGUAGCUGGUCUGAGAGGAUGAUCAGCCACACUGGAAAUGAGACACGGUCCAUACUACUACGGGAGGCAGCAGUUAGGAAUCUUGGACAAUGGGGGCAACCCUGCUCCAGCCAUGCCGCGUGUGUGAAGAAGGCCUUAGGGUUGUAAAGCACUUUCAGCUGUGAAGAUAAUGACAGUAACAGCAGAAGAAGCUCCGGCUAAAUUCGUGCCAGCCGCCGCCGUAA
rnacentral:rRNA from 1 species